rnacentral:rRNA from 1 species
UACGUAGGGGGCAAGCGUUGUCCGGAUUUAUUGGGCGUAAAGAGCGUGUAGGCGGCCAGGUAGGUCCGUUGUGAAAACUCGAGGCUCAACCUCGAGACGCCGAUGGAAACCAUCUGGCUAGAGUCCGGAAGAGGAGAGUGGAAUUCCCGGUGUAGCGGUGGAAUGCGCAGAUAUCAGGAGGAACACCAAUGGCGAAGGCAGAUCUCUGGGCCGUAACUGACGCUGAGGAGCGAAAGCAUGGGGAGCGAACAGG